rnacentral:rRNA from 1 species
UACAGAGGGCUCAAGCGUUAUUCGGAUUCAUUGGGCGUAAAGGGUGCGUAGGCGGCUUGCUAAGUCGGUUGUGAAAUUUCGGAGCUUAACUCCGAAACUGCAUUCGAUACUGGCGUGCUUGAGGACUGGAGAGGAGACUGGAAUUCAUGGUGUAGCAGUGAAAUGCGUAGAGAUCAUGAGGAAGACCAGUGGCGAAGGCGGGUCUCUGGACAGUUCCUGACACUGAGACACGAAGGCUAGGGGAGCAAACGGG